GCCAAGGACGGAUCCGUCUGGGUCCAGGGCCUAAGGCUAAGGAAACGGAUCCAACAGGGGCGGUGUAAUGCACAUGUGGGGUCUUUGAUAGCAAAGUUUGGGCCUUAAGCCCAAGCCUAAACCCAAACACACAUCCAAUUUCCCAAACCCGGUUCAACUAUGGUCAACUCUAUUUCAGGUCAAGAAAAUCCUUCAAACUUCAACACCAGUAUCGCGCCGAAUCUGAUGGUUCCUCAGUUCCAUCACCGCAGAACAAACGAAACAACGGUCUUCCAUCUCACCGCCGUGAUUCUUCAUCACCUGAAAUGGAUCUCCUAGCGCGUUCUUGAAAGCUCCACACACUGCUUCAUCUCCAAGUCCUCAACCUUCUUCCAAGCUUGUGGAUUCAUGGAUUUAGAGGGGGAGCGAAGCAAAAACAGGAUUCUCACAUCAAAUCGGUUUUGAAUUACUAUGUCAACGGCUCGAAUCAUCAUUGCGCAUGCGUGAAAACGAGAAGAACAUGAAUUAAAGUCGAAACCAGAACUCACCUGAUUUGCUGCAAACAGGUGUCGAAGGUUGUUUCUCUCUUGUUUUGAUUGGCCUUAAUUCAAUCUAAUCUUCCAUCUUCUUCUAUUCUUGAUGUAGUGUGGUUGUGUAGAAUGAGGUCGAUGCAGGAGAUUUCUAAGCUCGAUGCGAAAGAUUGCCGAGAACUUGAUGCAGAAGGUUCAGAGCUUGAUGCGGGAACGAGAUUGAUGAACUUGGUACCGAAAGAUUGAGAACUCGUGCAUUGAGAUAUGAACUUGAUGCAGAAGAUUGCAGAUUAAGGUCGAGAAUCUGCAGAAAGCAGCAAAUGAAAAAUAGAGUCCAGAAGAUUGGAGUGUGAAGAGUGUAAGUAUUUAUAGAACUUCAAUUGCUCCUACCUCUCAAUUUCUCUUUAGAGUUCUUUUUCGGUUUCUUCAGUUGUGGAUUCAGUUAUGCUGAUUUUGUGAGUUUGUUAUCUUGUUAGAGAAACCGCCAGGUUUAGUUUUUUUUUUCCUGUUUUGUAUCCAUGAGAUGGUUAUAACCGAAUUCGGUUGGGAUUGGUGAAAGGAUUCUAUUAUUAUUCUGUUACGGUGUCGACGGUUAGCUAUUGGUUUGUUAGGUUUUGCCCUUAGCUGGCAGUAUACUCUUCCUUAUGUUAGUGGGAUAGUUUCUCAUUUUCUACUAGUUAUUUCGGGAAUUGUAACCUGUGGAUUUCCCACCUUGGUGACAUAUAUCUGAGAGAACCAAGUGAAAUCUAUUGCAACACCCUGUUGCACCCUGAGUUGCAUGGUUCUGAUUCCGUCAAAUUAAUGUCAUUCGUUUUGAACGUGAGUGCAAUUAUAACUUCUUGCUUAUGAUAAAUGGAUGUUGUUGUUAAAGUUGCAAGUUGAUGGAUGUUGUUGUUAAAGUUGCAAGUUGAUGUUAGCAUGAGCAGAAACUACGAUUUGCACUUGGAAAGCAUGGCUCAUGGUUCGUAGGCUCGAUGGUCAAAAUGCGGCUUUGGGAAUUCUGGACUGAACUGCACUUGGACAUUGCGAACAUGCCAUGAGUAGGUGAGGUAGUUAACUGAACUUAUUAGCUUUCUCUGGAAUUAUGAGUUUAUUGUACAGAAAGUGUUGUUAAUGCCAUGAUACACCGGUAUUGAACUGCUUGCUGGAGGUUUUUGUAGGCAUGCUGCUGGUUGGAAACGAACUUGUUCGGUUAUGCCCAUAAGAGCAGUAUCGAAUGAGUUCUAUUAUGAUAUUUUUUAGUGAGGCGCAACUUGUUAGCGGUUACAAUUGAAUGGAAUCAUGAAAUGUUAAAAAAAAAACUUGUUAUUGUUAACUCUUCCAAGCUGCCAAGUGAGUAAUCAAAAGAAAGUCCAUUGCAAUGCAGGUGAAAAGAUUGUAUGAGCAGGUUGUACGGUUUGCACUUAGGUCUAGUUUUGCUUGUCCUGGAAUUGUUGGCUAAAAUCCAAAAUGAAGACUUGCCGGUGCAGUCAUUUGCAAGAUGAAACUUGGUGUGAACUACUGCCAAAUGCACAUGCUGUUCAUUAUUUACAUUGCAAUUGUUGAUGAUGGAAGCUUGAAUUCCGGGGUGCUAUGUAUUGCGAUGAUGGGUGGAAGUCCAUUGUUGCAGCCGGUUUUGAACUAUGUUGCUAAAGGCUUACGACGACGAAACAGACAUGUAUCAAAGAUCAUGUUAAUUUUGGGUUUUUGAACCUUGGUUGGUCAAUGCUAGCUAGUGAUUUGUCAUUGUGAAUUAUAGGCCUCGAAGCGUAGGUUACGAAAUCGAAUGUAUAUAAUUUAUGUUAUGCAUUUGGAACUUGGUUGAAUAGGUUUUUAGAUGGUAUUUAUGGUUAAAGUCAUGUAGGAUAAGUCAUGUGUAUGGUUGUAUGUAAUUUGGAAUUGAAAUAUUGUAAGUUGAAUUUGGUUUGAAAUGUAUGUAGAUAUCAUAACUUUGGAUUAAA